AAAAAACAACAUCAAUUUCCUCAUUCCAUUACCAACAAAGAGGUCACAGAGUGAAUUUCUCAUUUCUAUUUCGACUGAGAGAUGAAAUACAAAAGGUUCCGCACCAAGAGUUGCAUAGUACAAUUAAUACGCAAAACAGAGAAAUGUAUAUUGAAAUGUUUGUAGUAGAUAAUAGAAUUAAAUAUUAAUGAGGACUGCUAAGAAAAUCCACAAACAUUCGAUUUACUGAGGGCAACCGCAUCUGCUGAUCCUGGGUUCUACUCCUUUUGAACCGAGACACUGAUGAUGAAGAGACUGUUGAGCUACCACAGCUUAAGUAUGCAUCAAUGACUCCAUUU
rnacentral:misc_RNA from 1 species